UGCAGGUGAUGCAGGCGAAUGCUUGCUGUCUGAGAGGUGGUGAUGCCAUUUUAAAGCACCGAGAUCGCUGAUGCA
ensembl:snoRNA SNORD24 Small nucleolar RNA SNORD24